rnacentral:misc_RNA from 1 species
AGGGUCGGAUUUGAAAUAAAACAAAAAGUUACUCAAACUUAAGGCUUACAAGUUUAUAUGUAUGUAGCCUGUUUGAUAAGUUUCAUCGCCGGGUUUAAACAGCUUGGUUAGAAUUCUGAUAGCGUUGAAUGAAAAGCUAACUUGAUAUUUUUAAUAAUGUUAAAAGCGAAAAUAUUCACGCUAGUCAAAAAUUUUGUUAUAUUAUAACAAAAAACAAAUCAAACAUACGACCUC